rnacentral:rRNA from 1 species
CCCUGGCUCAGAGUGAACGCUGGCGGCAGGCCUAACACAUGCAAGUCGAACGGCAGCACAGAGGAGCUUGCUCCUUGGGUGGCGAGUGGCGGACGGGUGAGGAAUACAUCGGAAUCUGCCUAUUUGUGGGGGAUAACGUAGGGAAACUUACGCUAAUACCGCAUACGACCUACGGGUGAAAGCGGAGGACCUUCGGGCUUCGCGCAGAUAGAUGAGCCGAUGUCGGAUUAGCUAGUUGGCGGGGUAAUGGCCCACCAAGGCGACGAUCCGUAGCUGGUCUGAGAGGAUGAUCAGCCACACUGGAACUGAGACACGGUCCAGACUCCUACGGGAGGCAGCAGUGGGGAAUAUUGGACAAUGGGCGCAAGCCUGAUCCAGCCAUGCCGCGUGGGUGAAGAAGGCCUUCGGGUUGUAAAGCCCUUUUGUUGGGAAAGAAAAGCAGUCGGUUAAUACCCGAUUGUUCUGACGGUACCCAAAGAAUAAGCACCGGCUAACU